AGAGUUUGAUCCUGGCUUAGGACGAACGCUGGCGGCAUGCCUAACACAUGCAAGUCGAACGGAGUAAUGACUUCGGUUAUUACUUAGUGGCGAACGGGUGAGUAACACGUGAAUAAUCUGCCCUGUACGAUGGGAUAACAGCUGGAAACGGCUGCUAAUACCGUAUAUGACCACGCCGAGGCAUCUCGGAGGGGUGAAAGCGCUUAAGCGGUACAGGAUGAGUUCGCGUCCAAUUAGCUAGUUGGUGAGGUAACGGCCCACCAAGGCGACGAUUGGUAGCCGACCUGAGAGGGUGAUCGGCCACACUGGAACUGAGACACGGUCCAGACUCCUACGGGAGGCAGCAGUGGGGAAUAUUGGGCAAUGGAGGAAACUCUUUAACCCCCAGCAAUGCCGCGUGAGUGAUGAAGGUCUUCGGAUUGUAAAGCUCUUUGAUUGGGGACGAAUAAAUGACGGUACCCAAGGAACAAGCCCCGGCUAACUAUGUGCCAGCCGCUGC
rnacentral:rRNA from 1 species